GCCAGCGUAGCUCAAUUGGCAGAGCCCCUGAUUUGUAAUCAGGCGGUUGUGGGUUCGAGUCCCACCGCUGGCUCCA
rnacentral:tRNA from 1 species